rnacentral:rRNA from 1 species
GGCGGCAUGCUUAACACAUGCAAGUCGAACGGCAGCGCGGGGAGCUUGCUCCCUGGCGGCGAGUGGCGGACGGGUGAGUAACGCGUGGGAAUCUGCCCAGUAGUGGGGGACAACCCGAGGAAACCCAGGCUAAUACCGCAUACGCUCUGUACUUAGGUAGAGAGGAAAGCGGGGGCCCUUUUCGAAGGCCUCGCGCUGAUGGAUGAGCCUACGUCCGAUUAGCUAGUUGGUAGGGUAAGAGCCUACCAAGGCGACGAUCGGUAGCUGGUCUUAGCGGAUGAUCAGCCACACUGGGACUGAGACACGGCCCAGACUCCUACGGGAGGCAGCAGUGGGGAAUAUUGGACAAUGGGGGCAACCCUGAUCCAGCAAUGCCGCGUGUGUGAAGAAGGCCUGCGGGUUGUAAAGCACUUUCAGUGGUGAGGAAAGCUCACGCGUUAAUAGCGCGGGAGGGUGACGUUAGCCACAGAAGCAGCACCGGCUAACUCCGUG